GACCUCGGAUCAGGUAGGAAUACCCGCUGAACUUAAGCAUAUCAAUAAGCGGAGGAAAAGAAACCAACAGGGAUUACCCUAGUAACGGCGAGUGAAGCGGUAAUAGCUCAAAUUUGAAAUCUGACCUUCACGGGUCCGAGUUGUAAUUUGUAGAGGAAGUUUCGGAUAAGGCUGUGGUUUAAGUGUCUUGGAACAGAACGUCAUAGAGGGUGAGAGUCCCGUCUAGAGCCGAUAGCCGCGUCCAUGUGAAACCCCUUCGACGAGUCGAGUUGUUUGGGAAUGCAGCUCAAAAUGGGUGGUAAAUUUCAUCUAAAGCUAAAUAUUGGCCAGAGACCGAUAGCGCACAAGUAGAGUGAUCGAAAGAUGAAAAGCACUUUGAAAAGAGAGUUAAACAGUAUGUGAAAUUGUUGAAAGGGAAGCGCUUGCAACCAG
rnacentral:rRNA from 1 species